UCGCUCAUUGUUGAGCAUCGUGAUGCGCC
rnacentral:sRNA from 1 species